rnacentral:rRNA from 1 species
UGAGGAAUAUUGGUCAAUGGGCGAGAGCCUGAACCAGCCAAGUAGCGUGCAGGAUGACGGCCCUAUGGGUUGUAAACUGCUUUUAUGUGGGGAUAAAGUGCGUGACGUGUCAUGCAUUGCAGGUACCACAUGAAUAAGGACCGGCUAAUUCCGUGCCAGCAGCCGCGGUAAUACGGAAGGUCCGGGCGUUAUCCGGAUUUAUUGGGUUUAAAGGGAGCGUAGGCUGUCUAUUAAGCGUGUUGUGAAAUAUACCGGCUCAACCGGUGGCUUGCAGCGCGAACUGGUCGACUUGAGUAUGCAGGAAGUAGGCGGAAUUCAUGGUGUAGCGGUGAAAUGCUUAGAUAUCAUGACGAACUCCGAUUGCGAAGGCAGCUUACGGGAGCGCAACUGACGCUAAAGCUCGAAGGUGCUGGUAUCGAACAGG